rnacentral:rRNA from 14 species
CAAGGUCUUAGAGGCUCAGGGUGGAGGCCUGGGCGCCCACAGGCGAAGAAGGACGUGCCAGCCGACGAAACGCUCCGUAGAGCCGGUUAGAGGCAGUGAGACGGAGGUAUCCGAAUGGGGAAACCCUUUAACUACCCCCUGUAGAGGGGGCUAGAGCGAACCUGGGGAACUGAACCAUCUUAGUACCCAGAGGAACAGAAAGUAACAACGAUCCCCUGAGUAGUGGCGAGCGAAACGGUGGGACCAAGGCGACAAAGACAAUGCGUUGCCUGCCAACAAACCUUCCAUAGAAGCGGGGGUGAUGAGAGUGGUCAGAGCUUGUGACUGCUCGAGUAGGAUGGAGCAUGGGAAAGCCCGUUUGAAUCAGCGAGGACCACCUUGCCAGGCUAAAUACUCGUGGGUGACCGAUAGUGCACCAGUACCGUGAGGGAAAGGUGAAAAGAACCCCGAGAGGGGAGUGAAAAGAACAUGAAACCCUGUGCCUACAGUGAGUAGAAGGGCCGUGAUGUGUGGCCUGACUGCGUGCCUGUUGAAGAAUGAGCCGGUGAGUCAUGGUGCCUGGCUAAGGUUAAGGCAUAAAAGUCGGAGCCGGAGUGUAAGCGAGCCUUGCUGGCGAUUUGGUCAGCCACCAUGAACCCGAACCCGGAUGAUCUAACCAUGCCCAGGGUGAAGCUUAAGUAAUAUUAGGCGGAGGCCCGAACCGGUUGAUGCGGCAAAAUCAUCGGACGAGGUGUGGUUAGGGGUGAAAUGCCAAACGAAUCCGGAGCUAGCUGGUUCUCCCCGAAAUGUGUUGAGGCACAGCCACCCAUGAAGAAGCUGGGGGUAAAGCACUGUUUCGGUGCGGGCCGGCCUAGCCGGUACCAAAUCGAGGCAAACUCUGAAUACCAGUCUUUUCAAGCAUGGGAUGAGUCAGGCGUUGGGGGAUAAGCUCCAGUGCCGAGAGGGCAACAGCCCAGACCACCAGCUAAGGCCCCUAAAUGAUCGCUCAGUGUAAAAGGUGGUGGGGACGCAAGGACAGCCAGAAGGUUGGCUUAGAAGCAGCCAUCCUUUAAAGAGUGCGUAAUAGCUCACUGGUCGAGCAUCCCUGUGCCGAAAAUGUAGGGGACUCAAGCGGUCUGCCGAAGCUGUGGGGAAGUUGGGCACUGACACAACUACCGGUAGGGGAGCGUUCUGUGUUAGGUAGAAGCUGAGGCGAAAGCCUUACAGUGGACAAGGCAGAAGUGAGAAUAUCGGCUUUAGUAGCGAAAAAGCUGGUGAGAAUCCAGCGC